rnacentral:ncRNA from 2 species
GACUAACCGGGCGAUGGAGUCCGCCUCCCCCAACCGCCGAACACGUCGGCUGAUGACUCCUUUUCGAGA